rnacentral:lncRNA from 1 species
GGAUGCGAUCGCAUAGAAGGAUAACUGGGCGGACAGAAUGUUUUAAGGGUUAUUUCACCCGCGACCUAUUUAUAAUUUCCACCAUUGCUAAGCAGCCCAAUGAGCUAUUUGAGCGAUUCGAAGCAUGUUUUCAACGGGUAUUGAUUGGAGGUAAGUCUCUUGACUUAAAAACACCAUUUUUAGGAAGAAUCAACCCUUAAUUCAUGAAAUUAUGUAGAAAUUGUGAAGAACUAGGGCUUAAUUUUUGGAAACGAAUUUUGGGCAUUUGAAAGGCCAUUCGAGCUUCGUUUUCGACAAACUUUAUAUGUACG